GACAGAGGGUGCAAACGUUGUUCGGAAUUACUGGGCGUAAAGGGCGCGUAGGCGGCCUGCUAAGUCGAACGUGAAAUCCCUGGGCUCAACCUGGGCAGGUCAGAUAAAACUGUUUAACUCGAGUAUGGGAGAGGGUAGUGGAAUUUCCGGUGUAGCGGUGAAAUGCGUAGAGAUCGGAAGGAACACCAGUGGCGAAGGCGGCUACCUGGCCUAAUACUGACACUGAGGCACGAAAGCGUGGGGAGCAAACAGG
rnacentral:rRNA from 1 species